CACAUUUGAAUUGGGGUCCUUCCUCUAAGUUGUCCAUCUUGUCGGUUAAAACCAGCAUACUGUCACAUACUUGAAGAUUUCAGUUUGC